UUUGUCCGUUCUCUGUCUCCUGUCCUUUUAAUUUGGCGGUGUCUUUGUCCGUUCUCUGUCUCCUGUCCUUUUAAUUUGGCGGUGUCUUUGUCCGUUCUCUGCCUCCUGUCCUUUUAAUUUGGCGGUGUCUUUGUCCGUUCUCUGCCUCCUGUCCUUUUAUUUUGGCGGUGUCUUUGUCCAUUCUCUGUCUCCUGUCCUUUUAUUUUGGCGGUGUCUUUGUCCAUUCUCUGUCUCCUGUCCUUUUAUUUUGGCGGUGUCUUUGUCCAUUCUGUCUCCUGUCCUUUUAUUUUGGCGGCGUCUUUGUCCGUUCUCUGUCUCCCGUCCUUUUAUUUUGGCGGCGUCUUUGUCUGUUCUGUCUCAUGUUCUUUUAUUUUAGCGGUGUCUUUGUCCGUUCUGUCUCCUGUCCUUUUAUUUUGGCGGUGACUUUGUCCGUUCUGUCUCCUGUCCUUUUAUUUUGGUGGUGACUUUGUCUGUUCUCUGUCUCCUGUCCUUUUAUUUUGGUGGUGACUUUGUCUGUUCUCUGUCUCCUGUCCUUUUAUUUUGGCGGUGUCUCCUUUCUCUGUCUCCUGUCCUUUUACUUUGGCGGUGUCUUUGUCCGUUCUCUGUCUCCUGUCCUUUUAUUUUGGCGGUGUCUCCUUUCUCUGUCUCCUGUCCUUUUACUUUGGCGGUGUCUUUGUCCGUUCUCUGUCUCCUGUCCUUUUAUUUUGGCGGUGUCUCUUGUCCUUUUAUUUUGGCGGUGUCUUUGUCCAUUCUCUAUCUCCUGUCCUUUUAUUUUGGCG